GAUGAACGCUGGCGGCGUGCCUAAUACAUGCAAGUCGAGCGAACGGACGAGAAGCUUGCUUCUCUGAUGUUAGCGGCGGACGGGUGAGUAACACGUGGAUAACCUACCUAUAAGACUGGGAUGACUUCGGGAAACCGGAGCUAAUACCGGAUAAUAUUUUGAACCGCAUGGUUCAAAAGUGAAAGACGGUCUUGCUGCCACUUAUAGAUGGAUCCGCGCUGCAUUAGCUAGUUGGUAAGGUAACGGCUUACCAAGGCAACGAUGCAUAGCCGACCUGAGAGGGUGAUCGGCCACACUGGAACUGAGACACGGUCCAGACUCCUACGGGAGGCAGCAGUAGGGAAUCUUCCGCAAUGGGCGAAAGCCUGACGGAGCAACGCCGCGUGAGUGAUGAAGGUCUUCGGAUCGUAAAACUCUGUUAUUAGGGAAGAACAUAUGUGUAAGUAACUGUGCACAUCUUGACGGUACCUAAUCAGAAAGCCACGGCUAACUACGUG
rnacentral:rRNA from 1 species